GUGCAGGUUACAACUGAGAAGAUCCAAGGAGGCAUUGAUAUAAGAUUUUGUAGAUGAAAAUAAGGUCAAUACUUUCCAAGGAGGAUAUCUUCAGAAGCCUACCGAGCAAUGAUUAUUUAGAGGGAUUUAACGAAUAUAUAAUAUUCUUGGUUUAGAGAGUUAAACUAUCUCAAACGACCACUGA